rnacentral:lncRNA from 1 species
UUCCCAUCGAUUCUCACUCCUCGAUCCAUCGUCUUCACCGCUGCAUCAUCUUCUCUUGCUAUCUUUACCAAAUCGAUUCCAUUCUUCUUGAACCCUAAAUCGAUCUUCAGAAACCUUUUUUACCACCGGAUCUCCUCAGCGUGUCUUCCUUAAAGUCGGGUUUGCCAAGCCUCGAUUUUGCCUUCAUAUAAUGGGCAGAAGUUGGAUUGUUGAUGGUAGAGCUAUUGCAUGAAAGGAUGAAACAUGUAGUCCGCCUUUGGUAAAUCAAAUCAAAGACUGGAGCAAUUCAGGAUUGACCACGAUGCCAUUUCAGGAUUGAUAGUUGUGAUGUGUCAGUAGAGUAGUGGCCUGGGCUUACCAUUGGUGUGAAAUUGGAACCCACUGAUCUGAUCUUGAGCUCUUAGAUCAUUCGGCAGCCAAAUGUGGUGUGGGAAAUCAAAAACCACACCAAUUAAUUAAUGAGUUCAUCCCUACACUUGAUGUAGAUGAAGGAAUAUGUUCCAAACAUCCUGAAAAUCUUCCUGGAUAGUGAAGUUGAGAAAAUAUUAUAUGGACUCGGCUAUAUAGGAGCAACUAAUGCAUCAUUGUUGGGGGUGAGAUGGACAAACUUGCAAUUGAAGAAGAGGUUUAAAGAGCGGUGGUGUUCCUCAAAAAGUUUCUUACAAGGAUUAACCAUCUCAAAAACAGGUAUUAGUUUAAUUUUAAGUUCAAAUUAGAUCAUUUUAUAUUAAUAUUUUGGAUAG